AAAACUUUCAACAACGGAUCUCUUGGUUCUGGCAUCGAUGAAGAACGCAGCGAAAUGCGAUAAGUAGUGUGAAUUGCAGAAUUCAGUGAAUCAUCGAAUCUUUGAACGCACAUUGCGCCCUUUGGUAUUCCUUAAGGCAUGCCUGUUCGAGCGUCAUC
rnacentral:rRNA from 1 species